GAAGAUCGUCGAAAGCUCGCCAGAAGAACAAUUGACGUACCGAAACAAGAAUGCUUUAUUAAAUAUCUUAAUAAUUAUAGUUAUAACUUAAAUUGAGUUAGGAUUGGGAGACAAUCCCACUAACUCGGUUAGGGGUCAAUUGGGCCCUUAACAGGGCUAAAUUGGGCCGAUUGAAACAACCUAUUUAGCACUUGAAACC
rnacentral:lncRNA from 1 species